rnacentral:rRNA from 1 species
GGGGAAUAUUGCACAAUGGGCGAAAGCCUGACGGAGCAACGCCGCGUGGAUGAUGAAGUCUUUCGGGACGUAAAAUCCCUUCAGUAGGGACGAAUACAAUGACGGUACCUACAGAAGAAGCAUCGGCUAACUACGUGCCAGCAGCCGCGGUAAUACGUAGGAUGCAAGCGUUGUCCGGAAUCAUUGGGCGUAAAGCGAACGUAGGCGGUUUCUUAAGUCUGUGCUUAAAGACCAGGGCUCAACCCCGGGAGUGGCAUGGAUACUGGGAGACUGGAGGAUGUCAGAGGAAAGUGGAAUUCCUAGUGUAGCGGUGAAAUGCGUAGAUAUUAGGAGGAACACCAGUGGCGAAAGCGACUUUCUGGGACAUUCCUGACGCUGAGGUUCGAAAGCUCGGGGAGCAAAC